GCCGGGGCUACUGUGAGGAGCCUGGCGGACGGGGUCUCACUGUGUCACCCAGGUUACCAGGUCGGAGUGCAGUGGUGUGAUCGCGGCUCACUGCAACCUCCACCUCCGAGGCUCAAUCGAUCCUCCCAACUCAGCCUCCCAAGUAGCUGGGACCACAGACAUCCUCCAUGUGCCUGGCUAAUUUUUUGUAUUUUCGGUAGAGACAAGGGUUUCGCCACGUUGCCCAGGCUGGUCUCGAACCCCUGAGCUCAGGCGAUCCACCCACCUCAGCCUCCCAAAGUGCUGGGAUGACAGGCGUGAGCCACUGUGCCCGGCCUAAAUGCCAGCUAUUAAAUAACUCAGGGACUGAAGGCUUGAGGACGCAUCAGGUUAAAUAGUAGUCAGUGCAGCCCUGGGAGAUGCUAAGCCUGGGGCUGCCACAGAUGGUGUGGUAUCUGGGGUUCCCCCAAGGCCAUCAGGCCACUCACUAGCAGGUUUCUGGGUGCCGAAGUGGAGCUCCAGGUCGAGGUAUUUCACCAUGUCACUCAGCUUAUCGUAGUCAGAGUCUUCCCCGAGCUGCGAGGGAGGAUGGGAGGUUCAGAGUAGGAGGAGCAGCAGCAGCUGGACUGGCCUCCCACUUCCCACCCUCUGAGGGCUGCCAUAGGGGCUUCCCGAGCAAAAGCACCCAUCAGGUGCUGGGAUAAAGCCCGGAGCAGGAGGAGACUGCAGGAGAAGCCAGAUCAUCCGAGUCACCGGGUGCUGAGCCAGCGCCUCCUGGGGUCAAUCGAGACUCAAGACUUGGAACACUACUCGUGCAGAAGCCAGCAAGGUCUCCUUGGAGAGCGGUGAGUUCACCAGGGCUGCCCUGGGCAGAGUGAGCUGGUGCUGAGAGAACUGCAACUGUGACAGCCUAGGGGCCAGACGCUGGACACGUGGCUGUGAUGAAUGGCAUAGAUGAGAGACCGCCACACCUCGCCUCACCCGCCUCCCUCCACACCUGCUUGCGUGCCCACCUCCUCGUAGUCGUUCUCCGGGGUCAGGAAAUCAUCCACGAUGGUGACCCGGGGGCCCAGCUGCUCGCUCAGCACGUCCAGGAAGCGAGAUGGGGCCUCACUAUGUUGCCAGGCUGGUCUCAAACUCCUGGGCUCCAUUGAUCCUCCUGCCUCGGCCUCCCAAAGUGCUGGGAUUACAGGCACGACCCACGGUACCCAGGCUACUUUCUUGAUCCACAGCUGAGGAGAAACCAGGCCAUACAGAGAUAGGAGCUGAAGGGACACGGUGAGAAGUGACCAAAAGACAAGAGUGUGAGCCCUCCGUUAUGCCUGGACAGGGCCACUAGAGGGCUCCCUGGUCUACUGGUAACGCCAGUGCCUGGGAAGGCACCCGUUGCUUAGCAGACCGGGAAAGGGAGUCUCCCUUUCCUGGUGGAGUUAAAGAAGACUCUGCUCCACCACUGCUUGCCCGCCCGCAGCCACCCAGAGGCCUAACGCUGUCCCUGUGAUGCUGUGCUUCAGUGGUCACGCUCCUGGUCCGCAUUCAUGUUCUGCCCUGUGCACUCGGCUCCACCUUCUAGAUAGCAGCAGCAGAAUUAGUGAAAGUACUAAAGUCUUUAAAAUGCAUAGAAGAAAUAAUUACGUAAGCUGUCCCCUCUUUCUCUCCGCCUCAGCUACCAAAUAGGGAAGGGCCCCCUGUCUGGCGGACACGUGACUCACAUGACCUUACCUAUCAUUGGAGAUGACUCUCACUCCAUACCCUGCCCCUUUGCCUUGUACACAAUAAAUAACAGCACGGCCAGGCAUUCGGGGCCACUACUGGUCUCCGCGUCUUGGUGGUAGUGGUCCCCCGGGCCCAGCUGUCUUUUCUUCUAUCUCUUUGUCUUGUGUCUUUCUUUCUUUUUUU
rnacentral:lncRNA from 10 species